rnacentral:rRNA from 1 species
GAUGAACGCUGGCGGCGUGCCUAAUACAUGCAAGUCGAGCGAACGGACGAGAAGCUUGCUUCUCUGAUGUUAGCGGCGGACGGGUGGGUAACACGUGGAUAACCUACCUAUAAGACUGGGAUAACUUCGGGAAACCGGAGCUAAUACCGGAUAAUAUUUUGAACCGCAUGGUUCAAAAGUGAAAGACGGUCUUGCUGUCACUUAUAGAUGGAUCCGCGCUGCAUUAGCUAGUUGGUAAGGUAACGGCUUACCAAGGCAACGAUGCAUAGCCGACCUGAGAGGGUGAUCGGCCACACUGGAACUGAGACACGGUCCAGACUCCUACGGGAGGCAGCAGUAGGGAAUCUUCCGCAAUGGGCGAAAGCCUGACGGAGCAACGCUGCGUGAGUGAUGAAGGUCUUCGGAUCGUAAAACUCUGUUAUUAGGGAAGAACAUAUGUGUAAGUAACUGUGCACAUCUUGACGGUACCUAAUCAGAAAGCCACGGCUAACUACGUG